GCAGCCGCAGCUCCAGCUCCAUCUUCAGCCGGCCCGCUUAAAACCUGGCCCUGUUCACACGAGGACAAGUGAAGCUACUCACUGUGUCCUUGCCGGGUUUCAGACGGACCCCGUAGCGCACUGCAUGGACACUAAAGCCGUUGUGGGACAGCAGGAAUCCUGCUGCGUGGCUAAACUUUCAACUUGGUGCGCUUUUUUCCCAGUUUACGCGCCGCAUCUCGCGGGUCCGGACCCGGUGACUCAUCCGUCAUCAGUCCAUCGCGGACUGCUCGCCUGCGCCAUGUCUCCUUUCCGCCGGUCACUGCUGUAACCGGGACCGGGACAUUCUCUUGUUUUUUUUUUUUUUUUAAUUAUUAUUUAUUUUUUGCGCACAUUGUCCUCUUUGCACAAUCAAACUCGACUCGUUAAACCUGUAGUCGAGGACGUGCAGAAUGUGCGGGUUUUGCGGGUUUUCCCUUUACCUGGCACGCAGAAGGCACCUAACCGGCCGUCUUGCCCCAGACCAGACCAUAUUACGCAUCUUUUUUCUUUUCUUUCUGCCUUUCUUUAAACCCUAUUUAGCGUGCUUCACCUGGCAAAAUGGCAACAGAUUUCAUUCCAUCAGGUGCAGAUUUCUUUUUCUGAACACUUUUUCUCUGUUUUUGUCUCACGCGUCUGUCGCUCCUUUUUGCGCUUCUUUUGCGCCUUGCGCAUUUUUAAGCAUUUUCGUUCGCAGUUGAGGGCAGACAGACAGAGACACAAGCAGACAGACAACAGGUGCUCACUCAAUCACGGUGUGCAUGCGCAUGCAUGAAUGACUGAAUGAAUGAAUUAAUGCACUCCAUCAUCUGUCUUCAUUGCAGGAAUGUCGCAUUCGACACAAUAGGCUUUAUUAUCAUCAACUGUAUGCAUCUCUUGAUUUUUUAGCGUACACAGACUAGUCAUGUCUUGAGUUCGAGGACGUCUCAUUACACGGGAUGGAAGCCAUGCAGGGCUGGGAGCCUACGUCGUCAUGGAGACUGGCCAGAGUUGAGUCUGGUGGCUUUUUUGCCAAACAGCUGUCUUCACCUGUCAACUAAAAGACGCACACACACACACACACAUACGCUCGUCCUGGCACGAGUCCGGGUCCAGAUGCCCAACGGGCGCUUUUUUGCUGCAGGGAGACUGUGUGAAACUGUGCUGCCAGUCGAGUUUACAGACAGCUCUCUGAAGUAAUCCUAACACACACAAACACACACACACACACACACUCUCAGGAGCCGGACAUCUGCUGCAGAGCUGCACAAAGACAGAUGUUCAUUUGCAUCCAGCAACACCAGGUAUACACACACACACACACACACCAAUUCUAAUAGACUUCACUGGCUGUUGCUGAGCUUUUAAUGAGUAAAGGUGCAGCCUCAGGCUCGGUGAAGCAGACCUGCAGGGAGCUGAUUCAUGUCACUGAGAGUUAGUUUAACAGACAAAGACACUGCUUUUAGCACUAAAGCCACAACUGGGGAUUUCAAUUUAUUUGCACAUAAUUUAUGACAUUCACCCGCUCAUCUGUUCAGGUGGAUUACUUUAGAGUGCAGUGGGAGGGUUCAUGACUCUGAUAUUUACACAUUAUGGCAUUUGAACCAACACUGAAAUCUUUUUUUAAAGAGCACAGAAGUGUAAAGCAUUAUUCGACAGACUGGAAACUUUGCUUUCAGAUCUUUCCUGCUGUAGCCCCACCAUUCAAACGCAUGUUCUUCUUUUUUUUACCACAUUAAAAUGAAAUGUUUUAUUUAGGCUUUAAGACCACAGUGCACUCAAGUUUCUCGAAUCUUACCAGUCAGAAGGUGUUACUAAAUUUUCUAUUACAGCCAGAAGACACAGGGUUAUAUGAAUGCUCUUUUGGUGAUUUGUUAUCAUUUUUGUUUUUACAGACAAUUCAUGGGGAAAUGUAUAUUAGAUUUUUCACCUUUAAACGGAUUUGAAAGGGAAAAAAAGCAUGUGUGAUUGUUUAUUAAGUUUUUAUUUUUACAAUUUUGGUAGGAAUGUCUACUGUCAGAGGUUUUUAACAGUCUGAGGUGAAAAACUGCAACAUUUUCCCCCACAGAAUAAAAAAACAAGCUGUGUGCUUUG